rnacentral:tmRNA from 1 species
UUUAUGGUAUUUAAAAACAUUUUCUGGUAUAUAAUGACCUUGUUACUUUGGUAACUAUGGUGAUAAACAUUAUGAAUAAUAGGCGCUGCGGACCCGGGGGCGGAGCCCGGCAUCUCCACCAGAUUCUGGGGAUGAAUAGAUUCGACGCACGUUGAAAGGCAUGAUUUUCAUCCGGAAUGGUUUACGUUAUAGAACCAAAAAUAUAAAUGCGAACGAUAAUCUUGUCGCAUGCAACGAUAAUAUGCAGAGCGAGGCAAUUGCUUUCGCUGCUUAAUUAGCGUAGACGCGGUUUGGGGGAGCCGGGCAACAGAAAUCCCCCGUA